CACAGGGAGCUUCUCCCUCUGCCUAUUUCUCUGCCUCUCCCUGUGUGUCUCUCACGAAUAAAUACAAUCUUAAAAAAAAAAAAAAAAGGAUUCUCUCCCUGCAUCCCUUCCCCUGCUCAUGCUCUCUCUCUUUCUCUUUCUCUCAAAUAAAUAAACAAAUUUUUUUUAAAGUGACUUUAUACAGACUCAGUUUCCAAAGCUAAAACCGCUCACUACUGGCCUAGCUGGUAAAUCCCAACCAAGCUUUCUAUCACCCUAAAGCCACCGGAAACUCAUCACAGCCCACGAAACCCCGUGAACAAGAGAAACCCCUGAAGACCCUGUGAAGUCAACAACAAGGAACCUCAUGGGUAUUUAUGUCCAGGCAGUGGAUGAACACAGUAAAAGUAAAGUAAUAAUGAAUCUGGGAGAAAAUCAAGUCAGGCUCACACCCACUAACCCGUAUAAACCGUGUCUCUGCACUCAGCACGCAGGCCACCUUAGUACCAUCCCUGCCACCAGGCCACCUCAGGAAGGACAAGGCAUUUCAGUUGCAAAAGUCUUGCAAAUAUGCUUCUGCUGAGUACACAUUAACUUUUCUGUUGGUGCUCUGUUACAACAGAGAGUUCUUUUGGCUCUCCAGAAGAACUGGUUAUUACAAUAUAGGCAAAGUGCAAAAGGAGUCACAGCAUUUGAGGCCGACUUAGGGAAUGUCAUUGGUUGGAUCAAUGACAAUUGAUUGGAUCAAUUGAAGUUGUAUAAGCCAAGCUUCGCGCAAGCAAGAACUAUGACUCUGGCAUCUGCGCUCCUGUGCCGGGCACAGGAGCGCCUGGCGGGAAGCAGACGUCCACAGGUGGAAGAAUGAGGCCAGGAAAGGGUGGUGUGUUGCUCCAGUUAGGUCAGCCCUUUACCGAUUUUAAAGGCUGUCCCUAUGCAUCGCUAGAUUGGAUCUUCAUGACCUCAUCUCGAGCGGUGAGGAGGGUGAGGGAGGAAUGACACUCGGAAAGGCGUGCAGCGCUGGAAUCGAGACUCCCCCCACCCACUGCAGGACACCAGCCCCAACCACAAAGCAUCACACCUGCUCCGUUGCUCCUUCUUCCCUGUGCGUGGGUUUCCACAUAACCUUGAAUUUAGGAGUGGGUUGUUUUCCUCAUUAUUGGGUGUGCUGAGAGUGGACAUUGGGCCAAGGGAGUGUCAGUACAGCCUGUGUUAACCCCAGAGGCCCAAGCUGUCACCGUCCUCCCACAGGGACAGACUUCCGUGUUCCGGGCCAUGCAGACCUGCCGGAUCUCCUCCAGCUCCUUGGAGAGCACUCGACUGUAGCUGAGUGCGGGGCUGUGGGUGUGGCUGGAGCCCUGCCGCCUCCCCCCACCCCCGCUUGGUGAGCCUGCCACAGCUUGUCUCAUUGUGACACAUGCACGCAGGCAGCCCACACUCCAAGAGCUACGCAUGUAGGCAGCUGUCUGGAGUGGUGUUGGCUUGCCCUGCCUCCACAACCUCCGACACGCUCUUCCUCCCCUUUCAACCUCUGCUGAAACUCCUUGCCUCACUCUCUCCUGACCCAUGUUCCAGUCUUAGCUCAGAAACCACCUCUUCCAGGAAGCCCUCCAGGAACUCCCCGCCUUCUGUGCCUCCCGUAGGCUCCCCAUUCACCCUGCGUAGGCCGCCUCUGAUGGAGAUGUGAUCAGCCUCUCCGCAUGCCCAUCUUAGGCAAUCACUAGCAAGCCUCUUCCAGAUUGGAUCAUGGUGUCCUGGCAGCUCAAUAGCUCUUUGGUUUGGAGGACUUGGCCACUCCACACAAACACCGCUUCGGGUGAAUUCUGUGUGUCUGUCCCAGUGGACCUGAGCCCCGGAGGGAGCAGCUGCGUCUCAUCCAUCGUGCAUCCCUAGCACGUAGCUCAAAUCCCGCACAGAACGCCCACAAAAACCUGCACAUGGGUGUGAAUAGCAGUUUCAUUCAUAAUUGCCAAAACCUGGAAGCAACCAAGACAUCCUUCAAGAAAUGAAGGGAAAGAUAACCCGGGGUUCAUCCAGACAAUGGAAUAUUACUUGGCCCGUGUUUGUGCAGUGAGUGAAUGAAUGAACACAUGAAUGGAUGUUCAAUAUAAUAACGGAAUCAAAGUUUUACAAACUUUUCAGCAAAACCAGGAUAAUCACCAAAGCAGAUGAGUGGGCAAAUGGACAAAUGAGGACUCCUCUGUUCUCAGCUGGUAAAUGAUAAGGAACAACCCUUUACAGAUGAAGUUUUCCCAGGGGCUGUUUCUGUUGCUUCUCCCUUUUCCAGAGAGAACUCAAGGACUGCCUGCGGACAUGGAAAAUCAGAGGCCGGACAGGGCCGUGUGAUGAGGAUCAGUUCCAUCAUAAUUAACGCAAACCCAGGGGUCCCCCGUGAGAUUGCCACAGGGGGAGUGAGGGAUGGUCUGGUUUUGGGGUGGAGUCCCAAAGGAUGGUGCUUGGUUUUGUGGGGCUAAGUGUUGAAACCCUAGAAGGGAUUUUUUUUUUUUAAAGAGAGACAGAAAAAUAAAUAAAUAAAAAAUAAAGAGAGACAGAGAACACACGAGCAGUGAGGGUGGGGCAGAGAGAGCGAGGGAGAGAAUCCCAAGCAGUCUCCACGUUCAACAAGGAGGCUGAUGCGGGGCUUGAUCCCCUGACCCUGAGAUCAUGACCUGAGCUGAAAUCAAGAGUUGGACGCUUAACCAACUGAGCCACCCGGGUGCCCCUAGAAUGGAAUUUCCAAGGGUAGCCCAUAAACCAUUUGCGCUUUCAACAAAUAUCCAUUGACAGUCCGCCCUGUGCUGAGUACUAGGAAUUGAGCAGCGAAUACACAGACAGAAUGAUGCCCUCAUAGAGCUUACCUUUCGGUAGGAAAGCUAGAUAAAUAUUUCAUAUCAUUCCAGAUGAGCAUAAGAAAAAUAAAGCAGGACUUAGGGUGGUGAGGGCAGAGGCAGGACCUCUCUAAGAAGGUGACCUCUGAGCAGAGAGCUGAGUGAAGUGAAGGAGUGUACAGAGUAAGUGCUGCAGAAAGGUGGUUCACUGUUCUAAGUAGCAAGUGCAAAGGUCCUGAGGCAGGAUUGAGCUCUUAAGUUCUAGAGUAACAAGAAGGCCAGAGGUGAGAGCAGAAGGAGGGAGGAGAAGGAUUGUCAGAGGGGAGGUCAGAAUAUUGCCAAGGCCCAAAUCACGUAGGGCUUCCUAAGAGGUGGUGAGAAGUGUAGAAUUUCUCCUCAGGGUGAUGGCGACCAUUGGCAAUCUUGAACUAGAAGUGAAUAAAUCUGAUU
rnacentral:lncRNA from 1 species